CCCUUAGAUGUUCUGGGCCGCACGCGCGCUACACUGAUGCGUUCAACAAGUUUUUAACCUUUUUCGAAAGAUCAGGGUAAUCUUUGAAUGCGCAUCGUGAUGGGGAUAGUCCUUUGCAAUUAUAGGACUUCAACGAGGAAUUCCUAGUAAACGCAAGUCAUCAGCUUGCAUUGAUUACGUCCCUGCCCUUUGUACACACCGCCCGUCGCACCUACCGAUUGAAUGGUCCGGUGAACUGUCAGGAUCGAAGGAGAAGUUUCACGACGACUCUAUCGAGAAUUUCCGUAAACCUUACCAUUUAGAGGAAGGUGAANUCGUAACA
rnacentral:rRNA from 1 species